UAGGGAAUCUUCCGCAAUGGGCGAAAGCCUGACGGAGCAACGCCGCGUGAGUGAUGAAGGUCUUCGGAUCGUAAAACUCUGUUAUUAGGGAAGAACAAAUGUGUAAGUAACUAUGCACGUCUUGACGGUACCUAAUCAGAAAGCCACGGCUAACUACGUGCCAGCAGCCGCGGUAAUACGUAGGUGGCAAGCGUUAUCCGGAAUUAUUGGGCGUAAAGCGCGCGUAGGCGGUUUUUUAAGUCUGAUGUGAAAGCCCACGGCUCAACCGUGGAGGGUCAUUGGAAACUGGAAAACAUGAGUGCAGAAGAGGAAAGUGGAAUUCCAUGUGUAGCGGUGAAAUGCGCAGAGAUAUGGAGGAACACCAGUGGCGAAGGCGACUUUCUGGUCUGUAACUGACGCUGAUGUGCGAAAGCGUGGGGAUCAAACAGG
rnacentral:rRNA from 1 species